CACAGGCCUAAGCCAGCUUUUGAAAGUCCAAAAACAACAGCUCAAAACCAGGUGUGGGGGGUAUGAACUUUUGGUGAUUUCAACACUCAGGUAUACAAAUAUUUGACUUUCUGUGACUUUCUACAAUAAGUGGUGUUAGCUUUUGAAUCCUAAUUUCAACCUGAUGGCAGAAGUUUGAAGUUUGCCCAUUUGAGGUACAGCUCUGUCCCUUCUGGAGUUAAAAAUCAGUGUGUUCGGGGUAAACUGUUAAUUCAAGAUUCCUCCCUGUUCUCACUUCCUUCUGGAAGAGACAGAAGUACCACAAAGGCUCAGAGGGAAAAAUUGAAGAGGAUUGGACUUAUGCCUGAACCAUCACCCACCUGAUUCAGCUUGUGAGGUGAGGAGGGAAGGGGUCCUUCUCAGCACAUAAUUAAUUGAGAAAUCCUUGCGCUCCCUCCAGGGUUACAGAUGAGGCCUAGCAAUCAUCAAAGCUGCCUGAGCUAAUUUCAAGUUCAAAUUCCACAGGAAGAAGGGAUGGGCUGGGGUCAUCCAGACCUAGACCUACAGCAUUUGUUUAUUAAACUUAAUUUUCAAAAAUAAAAUAGCAGAAACACACCA
rnacentral:lncRNA from 12 species